rnacentral:lncRNA from 1 species
CCACAUUUACAUAUUACAAAAUAGCAACAAUUCAAAGUUUACCCAAACAAGGCCUUAACGAUUUCAAAAUUACAGAAAAGACCCCAAAAACACAGAAUUGCAGGAAAGCCUUCUGGAUUGCUUUGACUAGUGGCGGCGCGUGGACCUCACGCACCACAGCCACUGGCGGCGCGUGGGUUCACGCGCCGUCGCGAACAGAUGGAAAUGGGUGGGUCUGCUCAGCUUCGUCUCCCUUUUCUUCCCUGCACCUGUAUUGAUAACCCCUGUCACCUGCAAAAAGAACAAAACACAACAACAAGCUGUCCCCUUUUCUUCUUGGUUUUUUAUAUCUGCAUCCCACAGAUCCGGCUUCUCUUUCUUCUCCGUUUCAAAUCGCCGGCAAGGAAGAGGACCCGAACCAGAGGAGCGUCGCUGCUGUGGAAGAGGGGAUCGUGGGUCUGCCACCGGUUGAAGGAGAUGAUGACAGUGUUGCCCCGGCGCUGGAUCUGUUCGGUCGUCGCUGCUGUGGAAGGAAACCGAAGGAGAAGCAGCCGUGGCUGAGGAGGAGAUCGUGAAGGCCGGCGUGCAGGGGAGAUGAAGGAAGGAAUGGGUUCGGCCAGUUCUGGUUCGUUUUUAGAGAAGAUGGAAGUGGGGCUCUAGUUCUGUGAGCUGGAGGAUGGCAGAUCGGUGAGGGAGAAAAAUAAAGGGUGAAGUCUUUGGUUCUCCGUUUUUUCCUUUCCAAAAGGGAGUAGGGGGUUGCGGCUACAGUGUUGGAAAAAAGGGGAGAAGAUAGGGCCGGCCGCUGGACAUGGUUUUGAGGAAGAGAAUCAGGGGCUGUCUUGUGCCCUCUGUUUCGUUUGGCAAAAAUCAGGGGGAAGGAUGAGUGGCCGGCUAAUCUGUGCUGUCAAAGAGAAGGGAGAGCGACGGCCUGUUGGAUUUUUUGGAGGAGAAGGCUGCGGUUACAGUCUUGGAAAAAUGGGGAAAAGGGAGCAGACUCCCUUGCUGAGAGGGGUUCUCUGAUUUUUCAAAGGGGGCUGACUUGGUUUCAAGGGUGGUGGCUGGUUUGUGGAAAAGAAGAGAAAAAAAAACAAAACAGGGGGGCUCUUGGUUUGUCAAUGUUGCUGCUGUUUUGGGGGAGCAAAACGGGAGAAGAAAAUAAAUCAGAAGGGGAGCUUUAGGGGAGCUGCGGCUGUAGUUGGAGAAAAACCAAAAACCAGUGGGGGGCGUGUGUAUAGGAGAAGAAGGAAAAAUUCCCAAAAAAGUGCUAGCCUUUAUUUUAUUUUUUAUUUUUUUUUUUUAAAAAAGUAAAAUUUAGGGAAUAACCAAAAUUGGGUUAUGAAGUUGCCCCUCUUAAAUGCUUAUGAUAGAAAGUCUCGUAGGGGACUUUAGAUAGUAAGCGUUGUAAAGAAGAAAAAAGGAAGAUGUUUUUUUUUUUUUUUUUUUUAAAUUCAAAGAUUUGAAAUGGUCGAAUUGCCAUGGGUGACUACCCGGGUGAAAAACACGAAGAUGUUUUAAAGAGGUGAAAAUACAGAGAUUUUUCAAAGAGGUGAAAAAUAAGAGAUUUUUCAAAGUGGUUUUGUUGUAAUGGGCAACCGGCCCAAGAUGGAAAACAAAAAGAGUUUUCAAAGGUGGUGAGAAAUGCAAAUAUUUCUCAAAAUGGUUUUGUUGUAAUGGGCACCGGCCCAGAUGAAAGGUUUGAAAAAUACACAGAUUUUUUCAAAGAGGUGAAAAAUGCAGAGAUUUUUCAAAGUGGUGAAAAAUACAAAGAUUUUUCAAAGUGAUGAGAAAUGCAAAGAUUUCUCAAAAAUGGUUUUAUUGUUACGGGCAACCGGCCCAAGUGGAAAAGUUUGAAAGUGGGGAGAAAUGCAAGGAUUUCUCGAAAUGGUUUUAUUGUUAUGGGCAACCGGCCAAAUGAAGAUGUUUGAAGUUGGGGAGAAAUGCAAGGAUUUCUCGAAAUGGUUUUAUUGUUAUGGGCAACCGGCCCAAAUGGAAGAAUUUUGAAGUGGGGAGAAAUGCAAGGACUUCUCAAAAGUUUGAAAGUGGGGAGAAAUGCAAGGAUUUCUCAAAUGGUUUCAUUGUUAUGGGGCGACCGGCCCAAAUGGAAGAUGAAAAGAGUUUGAAAGAGGUCUGAUUAUAAUGGUGACGGCCCGGGCGAAAAGGCAAAAUGUCUGAAAGGGACGACAUGAUAGGACUCGAUGGGGAACGAGGGCUGAAGAGCACACUCGAAAGGAGAUAGGGUUCGAAAAACAUACUACCUAAGAGGUGAGUGGCUCCAAGGCGCACUCUAAAGAAGGCAAAUAGGGCUAGAAGCAACUACACAAGAGGUGAGGGCUCGAAGGAGCUCUCAAAAGAGGCAAGGUUGGAAACGCACCACUAAGGUGGUUAAUGGCCCUAAGGCGCACUCUAAGGGAGAUAGGGUUGGAAAACACACUACCUAAAGGGUUGAUGGCUUAAGGGCACUUAAAAGGAGAUAGAGUUGGAAAACGCACUACCUAAGAGUUGAUGGCCUAAGGCGCAACCUAAAGGAGGUAGGGUUAGAAAAACGCACUACCUGAGAGGUGAGGGCUCGAAGGAGCUCUCAAAAAAGAGGCAGGGUUGGAAAACACACUACCUAAGAUGGUUGAUGGCCCUAAGGCGCACUUAAAAAGAGAUAGGGUUGGAAACGCACCUAAGAUGGUUGAGGCUCUAAAGCGCACUAAAAAAGGAGGUAUGGUUAGAAACACAUUACUAAGGGGUGAGGGCUAAAAGACGCCCUCAAAAGGAGGUAGGGUUGGAAAAACACUACCUAAAAGGUUAGGGCUCGAAGGCACACUAAAAGAGGUAGGGUUAGAAAACACACUACCUAAGGGGAGGGCUAAAAGACGCCCUCAGAAGGAGGUAGGGUUGGAAAACACACUACCUAAAAGGUUAGGGCUCGAAAGGCACACUAUAAAAGAGGUAUGGUGAGACACCGAUCUAUCCAAGGAUGAAAGUAAUGCAUCAUGAACAAUAUGCAUGUAUACUUACUGAGAAGUAUAGGUCCCCUUUUCUUCAUAAAGUUCUCUUUUCUCAGAAGUUUGAGUCUCUGAUAGUAAGCUUUGAUGGCUUUUGUCCCCCUAGCUUACUCGAGAAUAUCUUACGAUCUUGGCCUCUAUGAAAGACUUGAUGUCAUCACUUCUUUGUUCUCCGGCCCUUUUAUCUCAAGGGUUGCCAAUUUUGCCCAAUAGUUUCUUAGAAAGGGAAUCAUGGAGCAAGCUCUACCAGAUGUUUUUGAUUGCCCCUUAGCUUGAUCAUGCCCCCAAGUAUUCAAUCGGGUUUGGGGAUGAGGCUAUGUGAAGGAAGGUUUGGCUUUUGACAAGGAGUUGUUUUCAUGUAGAAUUUUUGGAAUUUCAAAGCUAUUCCAAACACAGAAAUCAUUUUGACAUCGAUUCAAAGCGAACUCAUUCUGAAGAAAUUCAAGUGAUUCCUAUGGAGAGGUUUUCAGAAGUGAUGAAAACUUUUUGUUUUGAUUUUGGUGAAAAAAUAUGAAGUGACAUUUGGUUGGUCACAAAAAGUUGAAAUUUCAAUGAAGUGACAUCUGGUUGGUCACAAAAGGUUUAAAUUUCAAUGAAGUGACAUCUGGUUGGUCACAAAAGGUUUAAAUUUCAAUGAAGUGACAUCUGAUUGGUCACAAAAGGUUUAAAUUUCAAUGAAGUGACAUCUGGUUGGUCACAAAAGGUUUGAGUUUCAAUUUGAGGGUUAUUGAGAACCGUUUUCAAAGCAGUCAUUUUAUUUGCAUGAAUAAUGAUUUUAUUUCGCAUGAGAAAGCACUGCCUACCGAUCCAGAUUGCUUGCCUUUGAUCAGAAAGGGCUUCAUUAGGCACGUAAUGUAGGCUUGGGCUUUUGGCUUUGAAGAAAAUGAUAUAUGUAGGCUCAAAAGGUGUUUAAGGGACUUUAAGACUAAGGAUCACAAGUGCUUAUAUCCCAAACUCUUUUGUUCAUACAUUUCUGGACCUUGGAAUUGAUUUGUAAAAAUGGUCCACGGUGCCCCCCAGUGUUGGGUUUGGGCUGUUUCUCUUUGUUUUUGUUUUCUUCAUUUGAUUUUGAGCAUCAUUGCAUUAGUUUUUUUUUAUGCUCAGAAUUUUUGGAUCCUUUGGAUUUUUUUUUUCAUGCCAUAUAGCUUUGUAUGGGCACCUUCGAUGAUUGAGAAUUUUUUUUAUGCCCCCCCCAGUAUGGUUUGGGCACUUUCAUUGUUGAAGACUUUUUCAUGCCCCCAAGACUUAUUUGGGCACUUUCAAUCAUUAUGGAUUUUUUUUAGCACUUGCCCCCCAGUGUAGGGUGUGAUCCUAGCCAAGGUUAUUUUUCAAGAAAAAUUUAUUAGGCUCAAAAGGGGACUGCAAAUGAUAUAUUUCAGCUUUGCAAAAGGAUUAUCAAAGAUGGCCUUUCUUCAUCUCAAAUGCAUGCAUUUAGGAUCGGUAAGCCUUGCUUUCAUGCGAGUAUGCAACGUGAUUUCUCAUUAUUCAUGCAAUCAAAACUCAGCUUUUGAAGUCACUUCAUGGUGUUUUUUUUUUUUUUUUUUGGGUUUUCUAGGUGUAUGGUUACCUCUCUAAGAAAUCACCUGAAUUUCCAGAACUCAUUCGUUUCAAACAAACAUCAACAUGAUUUUUGUUUUUGUACUAAACUUUGAAUUCCCAAAAAUCCUUAUGAAAACAUGGGGUCCUGUUUUGUUUUGGGAAGAAAAGGGGAAACGCACCACAAGAUUUUGGGCGCGGUGGUUUCAUGCUUAAAGGUUACGCUCAAUGUGUUAUUUGCAUGAAACAACAAAAAUGAUGGCAUGUGAUGAACACAACAAAACACAAGAAAGGCUCAAUGGACAUGGAAAGUCUUGUGGAAUUUUGAGCCAAAUUGCCAACAAAAACUGGAGUAGGUUGAAAUAAAAAAUCAAGUUUUUGGAGGCAUGAUCAAACAGAGGUAGUUAUUUUGGCAGAGCAAGAACAUGCUCCAUUCUGCAACGGUGAUGCAAUUCCCCUUCAGAUUGUGUUGAGGCUUUUGAUCAUGUUGGCCCCUAAUUUCUUCGGGUUGAGUUGGGGCUGAACAAAAAUAGUUGGCCGAUUGGAAGGACCUUCACUAGAGGCAUUUCUAAGUGUUUGCUCGAGUAAGCUAGUGAGGCGAGCCACACUUGCUUUCAGAGACUCUAACUCUUCUUGGAAAUGGAUGCUGCGGUGAGCACGCUCUUUGUCUCCAAUGUUUUUUUCUCUCAAAAUCAGGUGUUGUAGACUCGGAGGGGACCUACUUUUUAUUCUGGUGCAUGCAUGACAAAUGUAUGAACAUGAAGUCUAUAUGAUGAACUCGCCCUUCGAGGGGUGACAACAUGGUCGUAACUCUUGUAUGAUGGAACAAGAAUUGUGAUUUUUGCCCAAACUCUACAAUGAAAUAUUUCCGAGUGACGACCAAUGUGUCACCCACAAAUCUUGAGUUCAAGAUGCUUCAAGAAGGGUUCGCCCUGAUGCAAAUAAAUGAUAGCACAUACAACCUAAGGACAUGUUCUAUUCAUUGUGUGAACAUGGGUAGGUUUUCUACCUGGUCUCAAAAGGUCUAUGAACUGCCCAGUGACGACCUCACGUGAAGGCAGUAUAGGGGUUUACAAGGAAUGGUUGGGGCACCAUGUGACCACCAUUAUCGAGUAAACACUCAGCUCAUAGUUGGAUGUUUCACAAAUCUGAACCCCGACUGAAAGUCAUGAGGUAGACUGCUACUCCCCACCUAACUUAGAAGCUUGUGUGUGCAUUCAAAAAUAAAUACGUGAUGCAUGAAACAAUUCUAUAAAAUGCAUGCAUAAAAUAAAACCAGACAAAAAUGGCAAAAUUUAAACACAUCAAGUACACAAAGCUUAGUCCAAUAUUGUCAGAAACAGUACCUCCCCAGUGGAGUCGCCAUUCUGUCGCAUGUCGAAAAAUCCAUCGCACGCGGCAUCGGCUGGCGAUUUAUGUCUCGUUGUUGUAUUGCUUGAAUUGGUUCGUUAGGAGUCGCCACCUAGUAUUUAAUUGAGGUUACUAGGAAACCCUGGUGGACUGGUCAUGGUCAGAGACUCGCGGGUAAGGGACUGGUUGUGGUUAGGGAAGGUGUUAGCACCCCUAACACACCCUACCUGAGGUAAGCUGCUCCGUGGACUUGAUGUGUUAAAAGAAGUUUAAAAAAUUGUCUUUUCAUCGGAUUUUAAAAAUACAACUUCCGUACAAGUUUGUACUUCUACACCGUGAUCCAAUCAAAAUAUUAAUUCCUUCUUUAUUCCUGCAAUUUUACCAUAAAAUUCACAAACACAAUGCGCACACCACAUUCAAACUUCGUGAGCUUGAUGUAAUUUUUAAAAUAGAAUUUUAGCCCACUUCUAAGGCUACGAUACAUCAGUUAUUAAUUCCCAGAAUAUAUGUAGAAACAUGUUCUUACAUUUUCAUGGAAAAUACAACAUGAUUUUAUCCAUCCUUAGAAUUUGUGCAUGCUCAAAUUAAACAAUUAAUUCCUUUUUUGUUUUUUUUAUUUUUAUAAUACAAUAUAAUAAAUAAAUAUAAAAAACACACACACACAACUUUUUUAUUAUUAUUUGUUUUUCUUUUCUUUUCCACAUUUACAUAUUACAAAAUAGCAACAAUUCAAAGUUUACCCAAACAAGGCCUUAACGAUUUCAAAAUUACAGAAAAGACCCCAAAAACACAGAAUUGCAGGAAAGCCUUCUGGAUUGCUUUGACUAGUGGCGGCGCGUGGACCUCACGCACCACAGCCACUGGCGGCGCGUGGGUUCACGCGCCGUCGCGAACAGAUGGAAAUGGGUGGGUCUGCUCAGCUUCGUCUCCCUUUUCUUCCCUGCACCUGUAUUGAUAACCCCUGUCACCUGCAAAAAGAACAAAACACAACAACAAGCUGUCCCCUUUUCUUCUUGGUUUUUUAUAUCUGCAUCCCACAGAUCCGG